rnacentral:rRNA from 1 species
GAAUUCGAUUAACGCGAAGAACCUUACCCAGGCUUGAACAGCGAGUGACCCCUCCCGAAAGGGAGCUUCCGCAAGGACACUCGUAGAGGUGCUGCAUGGCUGUCGUCAGCUCGUGUCGUGAGAUGUUGGGUUAAGUCCCGCAACGAGCGCAACCCUUGUCUGCUGUUGCCAUCACGUUAUGGUGGGCACUCUGCAGAGACUGCCGGUGAUAAACCGGAGGAAGGUGGGGAUGACGUCAAGUCAGCAUGGCCUUUAUGUCUGGGGCUACACACGUGCUACAAUGGCCGAUACAAACCGUCGCGAUACCGCAAGGUGGAGCUAAUCGGAGAAAGUCGGUCUCAGUUCGGAUUGUAGGCUGCAACUCGCCUGCAUGAAGUCGGAAUCGCUAGUAAUCGCGGAUCAGCACGCCGCGGUGAAUACGUUCCCGGGCCUUGUCACACCGAAUCACUA